AGAGUUUGAUCCUGGCUCAGGAUGAACGCUAGCGGCAGGCCUAAUACAUGCAAGUCGAACGGUGAUAGCAAUAUCAUAGUGGCGCACGGGUGCGUAACACGUAUGCAACCUACCUAUUAUUGGGGGAUAGCCUUUGGAAACGGAGAUUAAUACCGCAUAAUACGUUUGACUGGCAUCGGUUGAUUGUUAAAGCUUUGGCGAUAAUAGAUGGGCAUGCGUCCAAUUAGUUAGUUGGUUAGGUAACGGCUGACCAAGACGAUGAUUGGUAGGGGAUCUGAGAGGAUAAUCCCCCACACUGGCACUGAGAUACGGGCCAGACUCCUACGGGAGGCAGCAGUAGGGAAUAUUGGGCAAUGGGCGGAAGCCUGACCCAGCCAUGCCGCGUGCAGGAAGAAGGCGUUAUGCGUUGUAAACUGCUUUUUUAUAGGAAGAAGGAUCCCUUGCGAGGGAAGGUGACGGUACUAUAAGAAUAAGCACCGGCUAACUCCGUGCCAGCAGCCGCGGUAAUACGGAGGGUGCAAGCGUUGUCCGGAUUUAUUGGGUUUAAAGGGUGCGUAGGCGGUUUAUUAAGUCAGUGGUGAAAGACGGUCGCUCAACGAUUGCAGUGCCAUUGAUACUGGUAGACUUGCGUGAG
rnacentral:rRNA from 1 species